rnacentral:rRNA from 1 species
CCUACGGGAGGCAGCAGUGAGGAAUAUUGGUCAAUGGACGAGAGUCUGAACCAGCCAAGUAGCGUGAAGGAUGACUGCCCUAUGGGUUGUAAACUUCUUUUAUAAAGGAAUAAAACGAGGCCCGUGUGCCUUUUUGCAUGUACUUUAUGAAUAAGGAUCGGCUAACUCCGUGACAGCAGCCGCGGUAAUACGGAGGAUCCGACCGUUCUCCGGGUUUAUUGGGUUUAAAGGGAGCGUAGAUGGGUUGGUAAGUUAGUUGUGAAAGUUUGCGGCUUAACCGUAAAAUUGCAAUUGAUACUGGCAGUCUUGAGUACAGUUGAGGUAGGCGGAAUUCGAGGUGUAGCGGUGAAAUGCUUAGAU